rnacentral:piRNA from 1 species
UGUGUAAAUAAUUAAAGUGCU